AGAGAACGCUGGCGGUAGGCCUAACACAUGCAAGUCGAACGGCAGCACCGUAAGCGUUUGCUCUUACGGGUGGCGAGACGCGUACGGGUGAGGAAUACAUCCGAAUCUACUUUUUCGUGGGGGAUCACGUAGGUGAACUUACGCUCAUAUCGCAUACGACCUACGGGUGAAAGGCGUGGAUCUUCGCACCUUGCGCGAUUGAAUGCGCCGAUGCCGGAUUAGCUAGUUGGCGGGGUAAAGGCCCACCAAGGCGACGAUCCGUAGCUGGUCUGAGAGGCUGAUCGGCCACACUAGAACUGAGACACGGUCCAGUCUCCUACGGGAGGCCGCAGUCGGGAACAUUGGACAGUGGGCGCAAGCCUGAUCCAGCCAUACCGCGUCAGUGGUGAAGGCCUUCGGUUUGGAAAGCCCUUUUGUGGGGAAAAAAGAGCAGCAGGUUAAUACCCCGCUGUUCUGACGGUACCCAGAAAAGAAGCACCGGCUAACUUCGUG
rnacentral:rRNA from 1 species